rnacentral:lncRNA from 1 species
UAUAGUAUAAUUAUGUAAAUAGUGGUUAAGGUCAAAAUGAAUCUCCUUGUAGAUAAGUACAAUCAAACUUCCCUUAUUACAAGAGAUAUUCCUUAAUAUUAUGUCCCUGUUAUCAAGACACUCCCUUGUUUUCUCUCUCUAUUUUUCUCUUAAUGGACCAUAUUUGCUAGUCUGCUAAGUGAUCUUUAUGCUCAAUGAGCUUUCAACUUUCUUUGUAGCCUUUUCUUUCUCUUCUGCCCUUCGUGAGUAUUCAUCAAAGGAUCAUUUAAUUUUCAUCUGAUUUUCAUGUACCUCUUUUGGUGAUUGAGGCGUAAGGACAUGAUUCAAACUGUUUUUUCACAAUGAGUGUUAAUUGGUGCGGCCGUUAUGUUAUACCUAUAUAUCAAACUACUAAGGUCUCCC